GAUUGAACGCUGGCGGCAGGCCUAACACAUGCAAGUCGAGCGGUAGAGAGGUGCUUGCACCUCUUGAGAGCGGCGGACGGGUGAGUAAUGCCUAGGAAUCUGCCUGGUAGUGGGGGAUAACGCUCGGAAACGGACGCUAAUACCGCAUACGUCCUACGGGAGAAAGCAGGGGACCUUCGGGCCUUGCGCUAUCAGAUGAGCCUAGGUCGGAUUAGCUAGUUGGUGGGGUAAUGGCUCACCAAGGCGACGAUCCGUAACUGGUCUGAGAGGAUGAUCAGUCACACUGGAACUGAGACACGGUCCAGACUCCUACGGGAGGCAGCAGUGGGGAAUAUUGGACAAUGGGCGAAAGCCUGAUCCAGCCAUGCCGCGUGUGUGAAGAAGGUCUUCGGAUUGUAAAGCACUUUAAGUUGGGAGGAAGGGCAUUAACCUAAUACGUUAGUGUUUUGACGUUACCGACAGAAUAAGCACCGGCUAACUCUGUGCCAGCAGCCGCGGUAAUACAGAGGGUGCAAGCGUUAAUCGGAAUUACUGGGCGUAAAGCGCGCGUAGGUGGUUCGUUAAGUUGGAUGUGAAAUCCCCGGGCUCAACCUGGGAACUGCAUUCAAAACUGUCGAGCUAGAGUAUGGUAGAGGGUGGUGGAAUUUCCUGUGUAGCGGUGAAAUGCGUAGAUAUAGGAAGGAACACCAGUGGCGAAGGCGACCACCUGGACUGAUACUGAACUGAGGUGCGAAAGCGUGGAGCAAACAGGAUUAGAUACCCUGGUAGUCCACGCCGUAAACGAUGUCAACUAGCCGUUGGGAGCCUUGAGCUCUUAGUGGCGCAGCUAACGCAUUAAGUUGACCGCCUGGGGAGUACGGCCGCAAGGUUAAAACUCAAAUGAAUUGACGGGGGCCCGCACAAGCGGUGGAGCAUGUGGUUUAAUUCGAAGCAACGCGAAGAACCUUACCAGGCCUUGACAUCCAAUGAACUUUCCAGAGAUGGAUUGGUGCCUUCGGGAACAUUGAGACAGGUGCUGCAUGGCUGUCGUCAGCUCGUGUCGUGAGAUGUUGGGUUAAGUCCCGUAACGAGCGCAACCCUUGUCCUUAGUUACCAGCACGUAAUGGUGGGCACUCUAAGGAGACUGCCGGUGACAACCGGAGGAAGGUGGGGAUGACGUAAGUCAUCAUGGCCCUUACGGCCUGGGCUACACACGUGCUACAAUGGUCGGUACAGAGGGUUGCCAAGCCGCGAGGUGGAGCUAAUCCCACACAACCGAUCGUAGUCCGGAUCGCAGUCUGCAACUCGACUGCGUGAAGUCGGAAUCGCUAGUAAUCGCGAAUCAGAAUGUCGCGGUGAAUACGUUCCCGGGCCUUGUACACACCGCCCGUCACACCAUGGGAGUGGGUUGCACCAGAAGUAGCUAGUCUAACCUUCGGGAGGACGGUUACCACGGUGUGAUUCCAUGACUGGGUGAAGGUCGUACAGGGWACCGUA
rnacentral:rRNA from 1 species